CUUCUGGGCCUGGUUUUCCAGUGUUCCCGAUAAACCUAAGGACAAGGGUGCAGGGACAUUAAUGAAACUCUUAUCUUCUGGUCCUGAAUCUUCAACCCAACAGAUGUGCUCUGGAAGUUGUGAAAUACUUGGCUUUUUUCCUAGAAGCUUUCUGUGACCAACCCCUCCUUCUGGUAGUUCUGGGUAGGAGAACACCUAGGUCUUGUGUUAGAUGCUCAUUUCUACUGUUUCCCCAAGAAUCAUGAAAGAAGCACAUUUACAGAAACUCCUGUAGUGGAGAGCUGCUUUCUUCCAGCCAACUCUCUCUCCCAAAUGGAAGGGAGGAAUCUUCCAUAUGACCAAACUGAUGAGUAAAAUCUUCAGGAACAGGCACCUCACAACUAAGCUGCUGACUUUGGCACUUGACUCCAGCUCUAACCAACCACAGUAUAAAGACAUGUACCUGAGCUGCUGCGGUGCAGAGUGGCAGAGGAGCCAUUCACAAAGCUCCAGCCCAGGAGCUGCUGGAAUGUACACACUCAUGGAAUCAGACAAUAUGCUCAGCUGGAUGGGACUCAUCAGAAUUAUCAAGUCCAACUCCUGGCCCUGCACAGGAUGCCAACAAGAAUCACACCAUGUGCCCAAGAGUAUUGUCCAAACACUUGUGGAGUUCUGUCAGGCUUGGUGUUGUGACACUUCACUGAGGAGCCUGUUCCAGUGCUAAACCACCCUUGGUGAAGAAAAGCUUUUUCCUGAUAUCCAACCCAAACCUCCCUCAGCUCACCUUCAUGCUGUUUCCUCUAAUCCUGUCGCUGGUCAUAAGCAUGAAGAGAUCAGUGUCUUCCCCUCUGCUUCAGCCCAAGAUGAGAAAGGUAUAAAGUUAACUUCAAAUUAAUGACAGGCUUGUUCUGUUAUUUUGGUGUCCAGUGGUUUAAGGAAGCCACUGCAUAUUCCAUCAAAUCCUACCCAGCUCUUCAGAAAAAUCACUAAUUUAAAUAUUCAGAUACUUUGUCACUCACAAGAAGAGAGGCUGAAUCCACUGAUUUCUGUUUCAUUAGUAUCCAUUUAUUGCUGCAUCAUAAACAACAUUUGUAAUGAAACAGUGGCUUUUCUUGAGUUUGUUUUUAUUUUUUAAUUUCAGAAUAGCAACACCAGAGGACUUGGGGUUCAAUCCCAUGCAAGACUGUGGAAAAGAAAUUAAUGUGCCUUCCAUGGGCAUUGGAAGAACACUACUGUAGAAAAACCAGAAGAGCAGGCUAUUUGAAACAGACUGAAAGGGACAAACCUACAUGACUUCAAGUUGUGUUUAAUGCUACAUUUGCAUGUCAAGAUUACUCUGGUAGAUGUGGCCACUGCUGAUAUUUGAGACACAGUGCAGAAUCCAUGCAAAACCUCACUGGGAAAGGGGACCAAAUAGCUGUUUUCUCCUUUCUGUGCUGCUUAGGCAUAUUCACUUGGCUCGAAAUAAUCAAGUAAAUUCAUCAUAUUCUUUGCCUCUGCCUUAACUCUUCACUCCCAAAGCUACACCCAAAGCCAAUUAUAUAGAAUCCUAUAAGGUAAAUAUCCCUGGUUGUACAAAAACAAAUGCACUACAUGUUUAUUUUUAUGAACUGCUAAGAAUCACAAGUCAUCUUCUCCAAACACACUUGUGAACAGAAAAUGGUCAUAUGAAGGUAUUGGCAAAAAGCUGAUACCAGAGUAGAAUUUAAAUCAAUCACAGGGGU
ensembl:lncRNA